rnacentral:lncRNA from 1 species
GGUUAUAAGAUUGUACUUGGAAUGAAAUUUAUCUAUGGUCAUAACUUGUGUGGAAGUAAGGUUAUUGUAUGCUGUGGCAUAAUGCACCAGACUUGUGCUUAUUUUCAUUGUCUCAUCAUCCUCGAACUAACGUUUUGCAAUUAAGUUAUGUUAAUCAUAUUGUCCUGAACAUAAUUGUCCCAGGUUCGGGUGUGGAGGAGUUGAUGGAAGGGGGUUUCUAAGUUGAGUCGGUCAAGUACAGUAAAAGUCAUAUACCAAAUGUUUCCAAAGAGACUCUAAAGGUAUAAGGAUAGUUGGCAAUCCUUUUAUCCUGCAAAACACCUUAAGAUGCUGUUGUCUGAUCAAGAACAAGUGGCACUAAUAUCCCUUAUGGUUUCAGGUAAAACAUGCAUCUGCAUAUCAUUGUUUUUCACAGAGGUUAGCAGCUUCGCUUGCUAUCCUAGUACUGAGUCUUUUGCUGUCCUGAGUUUCAAAGUUUGUUAUAUUAGUUUAAUAGGUCUUUUAAAUUCAAAUGGACAACUGAGUUUGUGGGAAGUGCCUUAGCGCUCAAAGUGCCUUAGCGCUCAAACCAGUCAAAGGGUUGAGAUCUUUUGUUAUGCCAACCCGUGAUCAAAUGGUUUGCUGCUCAAGGCUCCAGCUAGGAUUUCAUGAUACGUUAUCCUAUGAAGAGCUGGUCCCUGUGUGAUUCAAAGACCAGUCUCUAUCAGCUGGUUCAAGGUCCACUAAUGGACUGAGUAAGAGGGUUUGAAACCUCUUUGCUCCCUGUUUUGAAUCGUUCAUGUUUUAGGAAAGGUAUCUUUGUCUUAUUGAGAUUGCUUGUGUCAACUCUCCAUUUGGUUACAUCACUUUCAGUAUGAGAACCAAACACUUCUGUCCAAACAUUUCUGAAACAUGUUGAGGUCAGCUUGCAUCAUCUUUGAUGCCUUGUCUGCCUAUAUAUUGAAAAUUAUUACAGUAUUGCUAAGAGAGUCACAAAUGAGAAAUUGAAUGAUGACAUGCAUAUUGUUAGGAUCAGAUCAGAUCAUGGUACUGAAUUCGAAAACUCUUACUUUGAAAAUUAUUGUGAAGAGUUUGGUGUGCAUCAUGAAUUCUCUGCUCCUAUCACUCCACAGCAUAAUGGCAUUGUAGAAAGAAAGAAUAGGGUUCUUGUGGAAUUAUCUAGGGUUAUGCUAGCUGCAUCUGGUCUUGAUCAUUCUUUUUGGGCAAAAGCAGUAAACAAUGCUUGUUACACAUUAAACCGUGUAAUUCUUAAACCUGGAACAACCAUGACUCCUUAUGAGAUCUGGAGAGGUAGAAAACCAAAUAUCUCUCAUCUCAAAGUGUUUGGAAGUCUCUGCUUUGUCUAUAGGGACAGAGAAUAUUUGACAAAGUUUGAUGCUAAAAGUGACAAGGGUGUGUUCCUCGGCUAUGUUAGAAAUAGUCGAGCCUAUCGGGUGUAUAACAAGAGAACUUGCAAAAUUAUGGAAUCAGUAAAUGUGGCUGUUAAUGAUGCUCUUGUUUGCAAGAAUGAUGGGUGUGUUUUGUCUGAGCAGGUAUCUGAACAAGAAGCUGAACCUACUUCAUUCGAAACCACGUCUGAUCAAGGAGAGAAUGACUCAGGGAUGGAUGAUGACACAGAUCUUCCAGGAUCUGGGAAGGAUGCUACGCUUGCCAUUCAGCCAAUUCACAGAAGCGGCAAAAGACAAGUACAAAAGGACCAUGAUCUAUCCCAUGUAAUUGGGGAUGUGUCUGAAGCCAGAAAGACCAGGAGUAAGACUGGUCGGUUGGUGAGCAAUUUCUCAGUGUUUAAAUGCUUUGUUGGUAUGCAUAAAGAUGACAUCGACACCAUCACAUACUAUGGCUUUGUUUCUAUAAUAGAGCCAAAGAAUGUGAAGGAAGCCUUGCUUGAUGCUGAUUGGAUCAGUGCCAUGCAAGACGAGUUGAACCAGUUUGAAAAAAGCAAUGUUUGGCAUUUAGUGUCUAGGCCUAAGGACAAAAAUGUCAUAGGAACCAAAUGGGUGUUCAAAAAUAAAACUGAUGAAAAAGGCAUUAUCACUCGAAACAAGGCAAGACUUGUUGUGCANNNNNNNNNNNNNNNNNNNNAGAGCACAUUAUCAUUGCUCAGAUAUAUGUUGAUGACAUAGUGUUUUGGGUCGUACUUCUCCAUCUCUGGUGCAUGAGUUUACUGAGCUCAUGAAGAAAGAAUUUGAAAUGAGUCUCUGUGGGAAGUUAAGUUACUUCUUAGGUCUUCAAGUUGUGCAAAGUCAAAAUGGUCUGUUUAUCUGUCAAUCUAAGUAUGCACAGGACCUUGUUAAGAAGUUUGGGAUGGAAACGGCCACUGCCUUCCCCACUCCCAUGAGCACCAGCUGUAAAAUCAGUGCUGACCUGUCUGGUAUUAAUGUGGACCAAACCAAUUAUAGGAGUAUGAUUGGAAGUCUUAUGUAUUUGACUGCUAGUAGACCAGAUAUUGCUUAUAAUGUUGGUGUAUGUGCUCGUUAUCAAGCUAAUCCCAAACAAUCUCAUGUCAAAGCAGUAAAGCGCAUAAUCCGAUAUGUUGCUGGAACUCUUGAUCAUGGAAUUAAGUACACUUUUGACACUAAUGUUGAGAUUGCAGGAUACACUGACUCGGAUUGGGCUGGAGAUGCAAAUGACAGAAAAAGCACUUCCGGUGGUUGCUUCUUUGUAGGCAACAAUCUGGUUUCAUGGCAUAGCAAGAAGCAAAAUUGCACCUCUCUCUCUACUGCUCAAGCUGAGUACGUAGCAGCUGGUAGUUGUUGCACACAACUCAUGUGGAUGAAACAGAUGCUUGCAGACUAUGGUUUCUAGCAAGGUACGUUAUCUCUUUUCUGUGAUAAUACCUCUGCCUUAAACAUCUCAAAGAAUCCAAUAUUGCACUCUAGGACCAAGCAUAUAGAGAUAAGAUAUCACUUCAUUCGUGGCUUGGUUGAAGAGAAACUGCUUGAGCUUACUUUCAUUCCAACUGAAAAGCAAUUAGCUGAUUUGUUCACUAAACCACUUGACAAUGCUAGGCAUUUGAGUUUGUGCAAGGCUAUAGGGGUGUGUGACAACAAGUAAAUACUUCCUCUGCUAGUGUGUGUGUUCUGUUGGUGUACAUAUGCUUUUGUUUACAGUUCCUCUUUAUAGGUUCAGGAUUAGAGGACCUUCUUGGUAUCCUUAGUCAGUUUCUGAACUUGACCUAGGUGACUAUUUGCCCUUCCUUUCCUUGGUUCAGUCUUACUCGUCACAUAGGUGUGUGCACAUGUUCAGAUGUUGUGGUAUGUGGUCUGGCUUUUAUUGCAAAUCUGCAGUAUUCUUAUGUGCACUAUUACUGAUCAUUUUGGUUGCACUAAAGCUUGGGCUAUAUACUUGAGAUAAGAGUUCAUACUAAGGGGGAGUUUACUUUCUAAACUAAUCUCAAAGUAAACAUUCCUUGGUUGUGGUGAACAAUUCAAGGGUGAGCAGAAACGAGGUUGGUUUGAAGAUUGAGGUUCAAAGAACUCAAUGAUCUAGGCUAAUCUCAAAGUACACAUUUCUUGGUCGUGAUGAACGAUAUAAGGGUGGGAAGAAACGAAAUUGGUUUAGAAUUAGGAAGUCUGGUUGGAACAAAGUUGGAAAAAAAUUGAUUGACAAUCACAAAUGACUUCUUGAAUCAGCUAGUCCUCCACUUGUCUUGUUAUGUAGUGGGGAUUUCUGAGAUGCAUUCUAUCCUUCGAUGGGUUCGGAUGAUGUGUCCAUAUGAGUGUCCUUGUUACACAUAUUGUCCAAGGUCAACUGAUCUUGUGAAGCAUUGACACAUUUUCUGCUACUUGUACCUAUGAGGAAGAUUUCUCAGUUAAGGUUGUGAUAUUAAUGUUGGAUCAAAAUAAAUCCAUGGAUAAAAGUAGCCCCUGGACUUUAAAAUCAAAUUUUGGAGAGAUAAGGAUGGAAGGACUAGAUGAUAUCCCAGUAUGACAUGGCUCACGUUGACAAUAAAUACUUAGUUGAUGCCCUCAAGCUUUUCAAGCACCAUGUGGUUAUUAUCUCACUUACACACUCACUCUAAAGUGCUGCAAAAAUAUAUAUAUAUAUAUAUAUAUAUANNNNNNNNNNNNNNNNNNNNNNNNNNNNNNNNNNNNNNNNNNNNNNNNNNNNNNNNNNNNNNNNNNNNNNNNNNNNNNNNNNNNNNNNNNNNNNNNNNNNNNNNNNNNNNNNNNNNNNNNNNNNNNNNNNNNNNNNNNNNNNNNNNNNNNNNNNNNNNNNNNNNNNNNNNNNNNNNNNNNNNNNNNNNNNNNNNNNNNNNNNNNNNNNNNNNNNNNNNNNNNNNNNNNNNNNNNNNNNNNNNNNNNNNNNNNNNNNNNNNNNNNNNNNNNNNNNNNNNNNNNNNNNNNNNNNNNNNNNNNNNNNNNNNNNNNNNNNNNNNNNNUCUCGUCUCUCUCUCUCUCUCUCUCUCUCUCUCUCUCUCUCUCUCUCUCUCUCUCUCUCUCUCUCUCUCUCUCUCCUCUCUCUCCUUCUUCAUCCUGUCUUUCUCUCUUCUUCUUUAUCUUCUCGAAACCCACUCUUUUCUUUCUCUUCUCUGAGUUCCCUCUUCUCCCAUCCAUCUCCAAACCUUCUCUCGGUCAAAAAUGUCAAACACUCCGGCUGGCCCUAAUUUUGUCAAUCUCGGUGAUGAACCCACAAUGAAGGAGCCUUUGAAUCUGUUGCCUCUUCAAGCUGAGGUGCCUUUCCCUGGAGGCCAAUCUCUGUUGCUCACUGCUACCCCUGGAGGCCCCUCCAUAGCUGACAAGCUUCAAGCUCUGAUGGACCCAGUCCCUUCUGGUGCGCUAGGUAAACGACCCCACUCUCCCUCCGGUGAAAUUCCGGUCAAGAUCGCCAAGCCAUCUGCUUCUAGUGGUGGUGGACCAUCCUCGGCAGUCCCCUCUUCUCCAGCCUCUCCGGUUAGGUCUCCAAUUAGGACUCGCUAUCCUUCUUCUGAGGGUGUAUGGACCGAGUUGCCUGACCCAGCCCCUGAGCCCAAAUCCAAGCGCUGCAUGUCCAAGCGUCGAGCGCCGAGGCCUGCCUCUCCUCCUAAGACCGAAGGGCCUUCUGUUCCCCCUGUCACUCCUCAGUCUGGUAUGCCUAAGGAUCCUUCCUUUCCCAUUCCUCAUCCAUCCUCCAGCCCUAAGCCCUCAGAACGCUCCAAGCCGGCUCCGGUCUCUCGCAAUCUUCGUUCUAGGCCUCGAAAUGCUGUAGAUAGGGGCAAGGCUCCCUUGGAAGAACGUCAGGUCCCUCCUAAGAAAAGGUCUGGUGAGUCUGCUUCUACCAAUUUACCUCCUAUGUCUCAUUUUGAGUCUGACUCCCUUCGUGAUCUUUUCAAUACCUUUGUGGUGGGUAAGAAAAUUGUGUAUGAAAGACUCCUAGCUUUAGACUCUUUUCAUCCUGAGAUUAGGAAGCUUCUUCAGCAUUGGGGAUAGGAUCAAGUCUUAGAGUCCUUUCCUAAGGUUAACAAGACUUGGGUUCAAGAGUUUUACACCAACUUUCCCCAAAAAGCUCCUAAAAAGGUUAAGAUUCAGCGUCAAUCCCCUAUUGUUGUCCGGGUUCGGGGUAAGAAUGUAGAUGUCUCUCCUCCUGGGAUUCGUGCUAGUUUUUCUCUCCCCGAGACAGCACCGAAUGCCAUUCAGUCUGUCUUGGAAUUCAUUGACUCCAUUUCUCUUCAGGAUUUGGGUGCUGCUCUUUAUCAGUCCUCCUUUCCCAUUCCUGCCUUGACUACACCUCAUCUUUCUAGUCAGUUUAUGUCUGAACUUUUCAAGAUUUUAGGGUUUGUGGUGCGCUCUUUGCUUACUCCUACCACCAACACCAGUAAGAUUACUCACACACAGGCUGCUCUGAUUAAGUACUUGACUACGAGUCCCGUUAAGCCAGCCUUUCCUGUAGAGUACUUUAUGUACAAAGCAAUUUGGUCUGCUGGUACUUCCCUUCGUGGUUCCAGCUCUCUGGUCUUAUUUCCUGCUGUGAUUACAAAGCUCUGCUUAGAUGCUGGUGUUCCCACCAUGGAUGGUGAUAUGUUUGCUCAGGAGAAUGAAGCUGUUACGGUUGACAAGCUGUCCUUGGCUAAAUUUGUUGGUCAAUCUGGUGAUGUGUAUAUUGAGCCCCUUGAGUCCUCUUUGUUGAAGCAGGAAGUUAGGCAUCAGGUUUCCAGUGCAGUGGCUACCUUGACACAGUUGUUUGCUUCUCACCUUUCUGAAUUGACCCUGGAGCUGAAGGAGCUGAAAGAGUCCGUGAGGUCGCAUCAUGCCUCUGCUAUCCCCUCUGCUGGGGCCCCUGUAGCUGAUGAGGAAUCCUCCUCAGAGUCAGGAUCUGAGGAGACAUCUUCCAGUGAUGGAGAGGAAGCUGUUUAGUUCUGUGUGUUCAUGGUGUUCUGCCUUAGUGAUUUGUUUUAUGUUUCUUCUAGUUUGUUUUCCAUUGUAGGUUUCUAUUUCUUUUAAAACCUCUCGGAUAUUUUAUUCUCUGUUUCCCUUUGGUAUUCCUUGCCAAAAAGGGGGAGAAUUAGUUGUAGGAAUUGAUGGUUGCUUGGUUUAUGUUUGUAAGACAUUAUUAGUUUUUAUGGCUGAUCAAUACAAUGUUUUAUGACUGUUUAAUGCAAUAGUAAUUUCUCAGUGUUAGUGUGCUAAUAACUCAGUUGUAGUUUCUGUGAUUCUUCACUUAUUCUUGAAGUUGUUUUCUGCAGGUUGUUUUCCCUACAAAUGAAGUGUUUUGUGAAGGAAUGCCAAAGGGGGAGAUUCAAGGUAUAAGGAUAGUUGGCAAUCCUUUUAUCUUGCAUAACACCUUAAGAUGCUGUUGUCUGAUCAAGAACAAGUGGCACUAACAUCCCUUAUGGUUUCAGGUAAAACAUGCAUCUGCAUAUCAUUUUUUUUCACAGAGGUUAGCAGCUUCGCUUGCUAUCCUAAUACUGAGUCUUUUGCUGUCCUGAGUUUCAAAGUCUGUUAUAUUAGUUUAAUAGGUCUUUUAAAUUCAAAUGGACAACUGAGUUUGUGGGAAGUGCCUUAGCGCUCAAAGUGCCUUAGCGCUCAAAGUGCCUUAGCGCUUAAACCAGUCAAAGGGUUGAGAUCUUUUGUUAUGCCAACUCGUGAUCAAAUGGUUUGCUGCUCAAGGCUCCAGCUAGGAUUUCAUGAUACGUUAUCCUAUGAAGAGCUGGUCCCUGUGUGAUUCAAAGACCAGUCUCUAUCAGCUGGUUCAAGGUCCACUAAUGGACUGAGUAAGAGGGUUUGAAACCUCUUUGCUCCCUGUUUUGAAUCGUUCAUGUUUUAGGAAAGGUAUCUUUGUCUUAUUGAGAUUGCUUGUGUCAACUCUCCAUUUGGUUACAUCACUUUCAGUAUGGGAACCAAACACAACUGUCCAAACUUUUCUGAAACAUGUUGAGGUCAGCUUGCAUCAUCUUUGAUGCCUUGUCUGCCUAUAUAUAUCUAUAGCUUUGGCUUUGCUCAAUGGUUGUUGAAAACUGCCUUAUUGCGUUUUCUUUGUUGAGUCUAGUUUUUAGCUUGCAUUGUUCAUGCUGCUCUAAGUCUUCUUCGUGACUGUAAACCUUAGAGCUUGAACUCAAAACUUCUUUCAUCAACUCAUAUCAUGUUGCAUACCAUGAGGGAUGUGUAGUGCAACCAACUCAAGAAGCGUUCAAGGUUGAAUCAGCUAGUGGUUAGCUGAAUUCACGAACAAGGCUUCUAAAAGUGUUCCAUGUUGUAAGAACUUAGAAACAAGAGAGGGAAUAUGUCUAGACUAGUUUGGGACUAGGAAGGAUAGCACUGUGGUAGUGUAUUACUAGACAUUAUUCUUGUAAGAAGUUACUUCAACUUAGUGGAAAGUUUUGUCUCUCAAGAGUUAGAGACACGCAGUUUUUCUCCCUGCAUUCAGGGUUUCUGCGAGUAAAAAACAUCCUCGUGUUGUUUUUUUAUUUGCUGCAGUUUACUUUCUGCAAACUCGUAACCUGUGAAUCUGGGAUAGCACAAGUCAUUGCUAUCCUCGGAUACAGAAGUCAACGAAAAUUUAAAAAAAGGCCUAUUCACCCCCCUCUAGGACCUUUAGACUCAGCUAAUGAUGAUUUGUUUAGUGGCCUCAGAUUAGAGGCAGGGAAAAAGUGUGUAUAACAACGUCCAGAACUCAUCCAAAUAUUCUGCCAACAAUAAUUGUUUCUGGCUUGCUGCUUUUGAAAUCAACUAGGUUGCAGCUGUUUUCAGCAGGUAUACUACUCAAACUAUAAAUUGCCUUAUUUCUUAAUUGAUUGAAUUUCAUUUGUCUAUAUAGUUUCUAUUUUCAUAUGUAUAUGCCCCUAUGAUUUAUAGUCAUAUGAUUGCAUUCGUUUUUCUAAUAAAAGGUUGUUAAAGCUAGACAUGGUCAUUAAUACACUAUGAUUUACCAGGUUUUGGUCUAUAUAGUUUCAUUAAUAGACUA